AUGUUAAAAUGAAAAUAAAAAGGCAAGUCUAUAUAAUAUUUCGUUUCAUUGCAAUGGCUGUAUAUAACAUUACAUAUCCCUGAACUAAGUACAUUUCUGCAGCUGUUAUUAUUUUUAAAUGAAAAAGAAAGGAGGCAGUGGUAUUUUAUAUCCUAUUUCGUUUUAUUGUAAAUAUACUGAGGGGAAAAUAACAGUAGCCAAAGCGAUCUGAGUUCACGCAGCAUUGGUUGAGUUCAAACACCAUUUAUUCGGAUCAUUUUCAAAUAUUGCUGUUAUUGUGUCAUGAAAUGUAAUUUUAAAAGUAUUUCAGGCGAGAAUGUAGUUGUUUAAAACUCAAAUCUAUGGUUUAUUUAUAAAGAUAGCGCCUAUUUAAAAAUGUGUUUCGCCGAUCUUGUAGACGGUGCAAAUGUUCCGGGUAAUUUCGGUGUAAACAGGGCACUAGUUGCAUCGCGUUCACACCCAGGAUCACAUGAUGUUUUGAAAAGUCACAUGACCAGUUAGGAAGUGAUAAAUGUCUGCUGGUUGCAAGGCAGAUUCUCUUUGUGAUGGGCUUCCUUUUCAGUAUAGGUACUGUUGGUCAUGGUAGAGCAUGAUUAAUCACUGCCAUUUGAAUUUUAAUAUUUAUUUUGUUUAAUCAGGGUAAUUUCUAGAAGUGUGUGUCUACUCUUCAUGGAGGACACAGGCUUCUGUAUGGAGUUUUAAAAUGUGUGAUCACCUCAUUGUGACCUGAGCUGCUGGGCUGCAUCGCAACGGAAUGUUCAGCGUUGUCUUCAUAUGUCAAUGAGCUGUCAAUGGACAGUUGAGCAUUCUGAAAAGUAGGCCUAUAUUUUUUAGCUAUGUUUGAGUUGACUAUGCUGUUUAAUGAGGCUGGCAACUAACAUGAUUGUUUAUUUCCAAAAAGGGACCAGGCCAGCCACUGUUUUCUUGUGAUUAAUGUGCAUUUUUUUAUUGUUUUGUUGGUUUGUUUGUGUGAUGGGUUUUUGCUUCUGGGCCUACCACCCAUGUGCCCUACUUGUAGUAGCAUUGUUCCUUAAACUUCUGGUGUUAUCCAUGCUGGUGGUUCUCUUCCCUAACUAUGUCUUCUGCUUGGGCUAUCCCUGUACAAGGCCGGAUCAACACUGAUGCUUUGCCCCUUCUUGCCAAGGGACCACAUUGUUAGAGACAUUGGUUCGGGGUGUCUUUAUAACCAUAACACUGUGUGAGAUUUUUUUUUUUGUCGUGGUAUCUGAAGAUCUUGAGUGAGUGGUGCUUGCUGUGUUGCAUGCUUCUUCUGGUGCUGGGUUGCUGUCUCCUGUUUCUUUUUGUCUCACCAGGGUCCACCUGAGCAGGGGUUUUGCAUUGGCUGAUCCGACCUUCCUAGACUGAGGAGAAUCCACCAGUUGUAUAGCAGUAUUUAAGAGCCAUUUUAAUAACUUUUCCACACUUUUUUUAUACUAAAUUGUAAUAAAUUUGAAAUACAUUUA